AGAACAAAUCCCGAUGUACAGGAAGGAGGCAUCUUCUUUCUGUGAAACAUCCUUUAGGGGAUGGGGCACGGAUGGACCUGCGGUGCAUUAGUUGGUUGGCGGGGUAAAGGCCCACCAAGACGAUGAUGCAUAGCCGGCCUGAGAGGGUGGACGGCCACAUUGGGACUGAGACACGGCCCAGACUCCUGCGGGAGGCAGCAGUAGGGAAUUUUCGUCAAUGGGCGCAAGCCUGAACGAGCGAUGCCGCGUGAGUGAAGAAGGCCUUCGGGUCGUAAAGCUCUGUUGCGGGGGAAAAAAGGCAGCAUCAGGAAAUGGGUGCUGACUGAUGGUGCCCCGCCAGAAAGUCACGGCUAACUACGCGCCAGCAGCCGCGGUAAUACGUAGGUGGCGAGCGUUAUCCGGAAUGAUUGGGCGUAAAGGGUGCGCAGGCGGUCCUGCAAGUCUGGAGUGAAACGCAUGAGCUCAACUCAUGCAUGGCUUUGGAAACUGGAGGACUGGAGAGCAGGAGAGGGCGGUGGAACUCCAUGUGUAGCGGUAAAAUGCGUAGAUAUAUGGAAGAACACCAGUGGCGAAGGCGGCCGCCUGGCCUGUUGCUGACGCUGAGGCACGAAAGCGUGGGGAGCAAAUAGGAUUAGAUACCCUAGUAGUCCACGCCGUAAACGAUGAGGACCA
rnacentral:rRNA from 1 species